UAUGUGAUGUCUCUCGCAUAUCAAUAAGCGGAGGAAAAGAAACUAACAAGGAUUCCCCUAGUAACGGCGAGUGAAGCGGGAAGAGCUCAAAUUUGAAAUCUUAAAGGGUUUCCCUUUACGAAUUGUAGUUUAAAGAAGUGUUUUCUGUUGAGGUUUUGGUAAAAGUUCUUUGGAAUAGGACAUCAUAGAGGGUGAGAAUCCCGUAUUUGACCUUUACUUUCAACUUUGUGAUACACUUUCAAAGAGUCGGAUUGUUUGGGAAUGCAGUCCAAAAUGGGUGGUAAAUUUCAUCUAAAGCUAAAUAUUGGCGAGAGACCGAUAGCGAACAAGUACCGUGAGGGAAAGAUGAAAAGAACUUUGAAAAGAGAGUUAAACAGUACGUGAAAUUGUCAAAAGGGAAGCGUUUGACACCAGUGUUGUUUUUCUGAAAAUCAAUUAAAGAACUGUUUAUGCUAAGUUGUUUAGACUUUAUCAGCUAUCUGUUUAGUUUUGAGCUUUUCUUUAAUGCACUUUUCAGUUAACAAGUCAACAUCAAUUUCUUUUGCUGUAAAAAAGCUUGAGGAAGGUGGCUUGAGAUUCGUCUUAAGUGUUUAUAGCCUCUUGCUUAUGCAGUCGGAGAGAUUGAGGUCUGCAGCGUAGAUCCUUCGGGGCUAAAUGCAUUUGUGCUAAGUUAUAGCAUUUUAUAGACAACUUGUUGACUAUGAUUUGUCUUGUAGCUUACUCGCUUAUGUUAUUUUACCUACGCUUAGGAUGUUGAAGACUCUACAGAGAUA
rnacentral:rRNA from 1 species